AUUGAACGCUGGCGGCAUGCCUUACACAUGCAAGUCGAACGGUAACAGGCCGCAAGGUGCUGACGAGUGGCGAACGGGUGAGUAAUGCAUCGGAACGUGCCCAGUCGUGGGGGAUAACUGCUCGAAAGAGCAGCUAAUACCGCAUACGACCUGAGGGUGAAAGCGGGGGACCGUAAGGCCUCGCGCGAUUGGAGCGGCCGAUGUCAGAUUAGGUAGUUGGUGAGGUAAAGGCUCACCAAGCCAACGAUCUGUAGCUGGUCUGAGAGGACGACCAGCCACACUGGGACUGAGACACGGUCCAGACUCCUACGGGAGGCAGCAGUGGGGAAUUUUGGGACAAUGGGGGGCAACCCUGAUCCAGCAAUGCCGCGUGAGUGAAGAAGGCCUUCGGGUUGUUAAAGGACUCUUUUGUUCUAGGGAAGGAAACGGUAGAGUUCGUAAUAAAGACUUGCGUAAUAGACGGUACCUAG
rnacentral:rRNA from 1 species